rnacentral:rRNA from 1 species
GACGAACGCUGGCGGCGUGCUUAACACAUGCAAGUCGAGCGAGGCCCCUCCUUCGGGAGGGUGUCCUAGCGGCGAACGGGUGAGUAACACGUGGGCAACCUGCCCUCAGCUCUGGGAUAACUCCGGGAAACCGGGGCUAAUACCGGAUACGACCUCCACGGGCAUCUGCGGAGGUGGAAAGUUUUUCGGCUGAGGAUGGGCCCGCGGCCUAUCAGCUAGUUGGUGGGGUAGUGGCCCACCAAGGCGACGACGGGUAGCCGGCCUGAGAGGGCGACCGGCCACACUGGGACUGAGACACGGCCCAGACUCCUACGGGAGGCAGCAGUGGGGAAUAUUGCGCAAUGGGCGAAAGCCUGACGCAGCGACGCCGCGUGAGGGACGAAGGCCUUCGGGUUGUAAACCUCUUUCAGCAGGGACGAAGCGAAAGGGACGGGACCGGCAGAAGAAGCACCGGCCAACUACGU